rnacentral:tRNA from 1 species
GGGGGUGUAGCUCAGCUGGGAGAGCGCCUGCUUCGCAUGUAGGAAGUCGUGGGUUCGAGUCCCAUCAUCUCCA